UACGUAGGGGGGCAAGCGUUAUCCGGAUUUACUGGGUGUAAAGGGAGCGUAGGUGGCAUGGUAAGUCAGAUGUGAAAGCCCGGGGCUCAACCCCGGGAUUGCAUUUGAAACUAUCAAGCUAGAGUGCAGGAGAGGUAAGUGGAAUUCCUAGUGUAGGCGGUGAAAUGCGUAGAUAUUAGGAGGAACACCAGUGGCGAAGGCGGCUUACUGGACUGUAACUGACACUGAGGCUCGAAAGCGUGGGGAGCAAACAGG
rnacentral:rRNA from 1 species